rnacentral:tRNA from 1 species
ACGACGGGCUAUUAGCUCAGUGGUAGAGCGCGUUUACUUCACGGGCGAGGUCUCUGGUUCAAGUCCAGGAUG